CAGCUGGGCGUUCCAGAAGCAGCGCGCGUUGGCGCGGCGGAAGGCGCGGAACACCGCCCGGCCGCCUGGCUCCCCCGCCGCCGCCUCCCGCGCCUCGGGCCGGCUCAGCACCAGCGCCAGCGAGGCGGGAGCCAGCUGUCAAGCCCCACGGUUUACAGCACAGUCCCCUGCGGACCUAAGCUUUCUGAAGUUCAUCUAGACGUUCUGAAGUUCUUGGAGCUGCCUCCUUCCCUGGAAUAUCAUUUAUCAUUCGAUUGGUGAGGGGCAGUGGAGAAAUCUUGGGACUCAGUCCUGACUAGGACCUGAGCAUUCUGAGAGGCACACCGUCCGUCCUGCCCCAGGAGUUCCUGGGGGUGAAGGCCGAAGCCCGGAGUCUCGAAGAGAUAAGGAUCAACAGGUUGGGCCCAGAGAAAAAAAGAUCGUUUGAAAAGAAGCCACAGAAAAAGAAUAGGUCUCACUAUGCAGCCCUGGGAUUAAAGACAUGUGCCAUUAUGCUCAACCUGAGAAGCUGGACUUGAAUCUCCAUCCUCCCAUCAUCAAAAACAAUGUCUUCCCUGUAGUAAUGAUAGUGAUUUCUGUUUAAUUUUAGUUUACUUUGUUCCUAAAAGCACUUUAGACUUUUUAUAUGUGAUGCAAUUUUACCUGCAAAAUUGAUCCACUGAAAAGAAUAGUAUUAUUAAAUCUUAUCUGUUACAGACAAAAUCUCAACAAGCUUAGGGAGAUUGCCUAAGAGGACAGAUUAGAGAUGGUGAUGAGUGGUUCCAACACCUUGCCCAUACUCCUGACUAGACUGUGAGGCCAGGAGAUUGUCACUGUGACUCAGUGGACCUGUGGUCUGGUGUGAAAAAUGGUCUUGAUCUUGGCUCCCUCUCCCAAGAGAAUGAACUGGAAAUACAGAGUUAAACAGGGCUUUUUCAGCAGAAGCUACAGCUGAAGCAUGCUGUGAGGUAGGCCCAGCCAUGAGGGUUCAUACAUGACCUGAAAUUAUGAAGGAGAGCUGCCUUGGGCACUGGAACCCUUGUUUGGUGGAUGCAUUCAUAUCAUUUUACUG